GCAUGGGUGGCUCAGUCAGUUAAAGCAUCUGACUUCGGCUCAGGUCAUGAUCUUGCCUUUCAUGGGUUCGAGCCCCAUGAUCUUGCC
rnacentral:tRNA from 1 species